GAUGAACGCUGGCGGCGUGCCUAAUACAUGCAAGUCGAGCGAACAGACGAGGAUCUUGCUCCUCUGACGUUAGCGGCGGACGUGUGAGUAACACGUGUAUAACCUACCUAUCAUACUGGUAUAACUUCGAGAAACCGGAGCUAAUACCGUAUAAUCUCUUGAACCGCAUUGUUCAAUAGUGAAAGACGGUUUUGCUGUCACUUAUAGCUGCAUCCGCGCCGCAUGAGCUAGUUGUUAAGGUAACGGCUUACCAAGGCAACGAUGCGUAGCCGACCUGAGAGGGUGAUAGGCCACACUGGAACGGAGACACGGUCAAGAGUCCUACGGGAGGCAGCAGUAGGGAAUCUGCCGCAAUGGGCGAAAGCAUGACGGAGCAACGCCGAGUGAGUGAUGAAGGUCUUCGGAUCGUAAAACUCUGUUAUUAGGGAAGAACAAAUGUGUAAGUAACUAUGCACGUCUUGACGGUAACUAAUCAGAAAGCCACGGCUAACUACGUG
rnacentral:rRNA from 1 species